GACGACGCUGGCGGCGUGCUUAACACAUGCAAGUCGAACGGUGACGAGGAGCUUGCUCCUCCGAUCAGUGGCGAACGGGUGAGUAACACGUGAGCAACCUGCCCCUCACUCUGGGAUAACAGUUGGAAACAGCUGCUAAUACCGGAUACGACACAGACAGGCAUCUGUACUGUGUGGAAAGUUUUUCGGUGAGGGAUGGGCUCGCGGCCUAUCAGUUUGUUGGUGGGGUAAUGGCCUACCAAGACGACGACGGGUAGCCGGCCUGAGAGGGCGACCGGCCACACUGGGACUGAGACACGGCCCAGACUCCUACGGGAGGCAGCAGUGGGGAAUAUUGCACAAUGGGCGAAAGCCUGAUGCAGCGACGCCGCGUGAGGGAUGACGGCCUUCGGGUUGUAAACCUCUUUCAGCAGGGAAGAAGCGAAAGUGACGGUACCUGCAGAAGAAGCACCGGCUAACUACGUG
rnacentral:rRNA from 1 species